rnacentral:lncRNA from 1 species
AUUGUUUUGAAAUAAAAAAAAUCAGGUUCUCACUUGACAAUUGAGCUUCUCUUUUCCUCAAAACUCUAAAUCAAGCUUACUAGUCACGACUGAGGCGUAAACGAGCUUUGAUUUUGGGGUGCUAUCAUGAUUUUUCAUCUAUAUGAGAUUAUAAUUCCAUAAAGACAUAAGUUGUAUGCAAAUAGGCUUCCUACUUAACAUAUCCAAGAUAGAACUUAUUUUUAAGAGUUUUAAAUAAGAUACCAGAUACAAAAUACAUCAAGUUAAUCUGAUUCUUUGCUGCUCCGACGAACAUCAGAGAAGAAGGAGAAGAAA